rnacentral:lncRNA from 1 species
ACGGUGGCGCGGAGGGCGGCGCCUCGCGGAGCCCCGCGCUCCGGAAGUGAAGCGGCCAGACCCCCGGCUAAUGGAUGCGGAGCGCAGGGCGCGCUCGCCGCUCUCGGCGCCACCGUCUGCUUGACGUGGCUGAAGCACCACUGCAAAGAGGCGACUGACAGCUUCCUGUGCUUGACUCUCAAAGAACAUUCUGGAACACGUAAGCAGAGUCUGAGCCGCCCUGCAGUGAGGCUUCUCCAAGAGUGCUGGGUGCCAGAGAGGAAGACGCUGUCCCACCAGCAGAAGUCGCUGUGCCGGUGAGAAACAGCUACAGAGCCACAGGUGGUGCCUGGGACACCAUUCGCCCACCGUGGGAGGUGCUGAGCUCAUGCCAGUUGGGAAAGCAAGGGCCAUUCAUUAGUCCAGAAGCCUUUGAGACCACUAGUGGAGUGCCCUAGCCUGAGACUGGGUCACGUGUAAUAGCUCGUCCGGGACACUAUCAACCCAAAGGUGGUGGGUAUCCACAUCACCAACUAGCGGGUACCCACUGAGGGAGG